AAAAAAACCCAAGUUGAGGGAAAUAUCAUGGAUCAAUCCCUCUUUGAGGAAAAGACCCAUGUAAAGCUCUUGUCCAAACUGGGACAUUUCCUUUCGUCAACCCAUUAUAUAUGAAAUGUGUGGAAUUGAACUGGCUCAG